rnacentral:rRNA from 1 species
AGAGUUUGAUCAUGGCUCAGAUUGAACGCUGGCGGCAGGCCUAACACAUGCAAGUCGAGCGGAUGAAGUGAGCUUGCUCAUGGAUUCAGCGGCGGACGGGUGAGUAAUGCCUAGGAAUCUGCCUGGUAGUGGGGGACAACGUUUCGAAAGGAACGCUAAUACCGCAUACGUCCUACGGGAGAAAGCAGGGGACCUUCGGGCCUUGCGCUAUCAGAUGAGCCUAGGUCGGAUUAGCUAGUAGGUGGGGUAAUGGCCCACCUAGGCGACGAUCCGUAACUGGUCUGAGAGGAUGAUCAGUCACACUGGAACUGAGACACGGUCCAGACUCCUACGGGAGGCAGCAGUGGGGAAUAUUGGACAAUGGGCGAAAGCCUGAUCCAGCCAUGCCGCGUGUGUGAAGAAGGUCUUCGGAUUGUAAAGCACUUUAAGUUGGGAGGAAGGGCAGUAAGUU